rnacentral:rRNA from 1 species
UACCUGCAGCUCAAGUAGUGGCCGCUAUUAUUGGGCCUAAAACGUCCGUAGCCGGUUCUAUAAAUGCCUGGGUAAAUCGUACGGCUUAACCGUACGAAUUCCGGGUAGACUGUUCAACUUGAGACCGGGAGAGGCUAGAGGUACUCCUGGGGUAGAGGUGAAAUUCUGUAAUCCUAGGGGGACCACCAGUGGCGAAGGCGUCUAGCUAGAACGGGUCUGACGGUGAGGGGCGAAGCCCUGGGGAGCAAACGGGAUUAGAUACCCCGGUAGUCCAGGGUGUAAACGCUGCUCGCUUGAUGUUAGUUGGGCUCCGAGCCCAACUAGUGUCGGAGAGAAGUUGUUAAGCGAGCUGCCGUGGGGAGUACGGUCGCAAGACUAGAAACUUAAAGGAUUGGCGGGGAGCCACCGCGAACGGGUGGAGCGUGCGGUUU